GUACGUUCGUUUGAAGAGCCGGUGCGGCACUGAGUGCCGCACUCGUCGGUGCCAGUUUUGGUUCAAUCGAACGUCAUUUGUCAGUGCGCGUGGAACUCGCAUGAAACUGAAAAAAUAUCGAGUGCGGCACUAGAGUUUCAGUUCCAAGAUGGCGGCGAAACUCGUGCGGAACUAGCGCGAGUUUCUUCAAACAAACACUUUGACAGCUCUGAGUGCGGCACUCAGUGUGGAACUACCCAAGUAACCAUCCAGCACUAAAAGAAAUCAUUAAUAGGCUGUAAACCAGCAUUCAACAGCUAAUCUGCUGUAAAACAGCUAAUGUGAGAGCAAAUCAGCUCUAAAGCAACUGCUCUAGGAAUAGCUGAAUUGCAGCUGAUUUCGUGCAGGUACUAGCAACACUGUCAUAAUGUUUCUAAAAAUACUAUGGCAUCACGUCUGCCAUUUUGAGUGAGUGUGAGAGAGAGUGAGCGAGAAGGAGAACAAAGCAAAACACAGCUCUCGCUCACUCGUUGAAAAAUCAACAUGGCAAGCAAGAUCCGGACUGGAAAAAGCUGCAACUGAACACCUUUUUUUUACAAUUUUCGAAUCAAAACCCACGUCAUGGAAUUCCAACAUGACAUUUGUGUCGAGGAAACACCAACCAUUGGAAUCGUUCGGACUUGGAAGACAGCGGACAGCGAUCUAGGCGGACAUUUCGCGAUUGCGGUGCCACGGUUGCAGGUACGAAUAGCGAGUAUCAUGUAGUGUUUUUUAGGAUCGUGAAUAAACCAUGUGAUGCAAUGUGACAUGUAAUAAAAAAAAAUGUAUUCAAA